rnacentral:antisense_RNA from 1 species
AGUGAGGCAGGCACUUGCUUGCAGAAGAACAGGCCUAGUUUUUUAAGAAGCCACAAAAGUGUCUUUGGAUGAUUAGGAUCUAAGGGGCCAACAGCUUUGCAAUAACAGCAUAAAUAUUGUGGGCUGGAUGGACAGGCACCAAAUGGGGACAUUCCAUCCUGCUGUGUGAUGAGAAAGCUGCCACUUCUGAGGCCUUCCAAAACAAAUCAACACUCCAUAUGCCAGAAGGAAAAGCCCAGGAAAGACCUAUUCCAACUGGAGAUGGUGAAUGUCAUUUCUUCAAGAAGCUGAGAUCCAGCUGGUACUGCCAGGUGGAGAGUGAGUUGGGUAGCUGACCUCGGGCAUGGCAGCCUUGGUUUUUGGCCACUUCAUGGGGUGACCUGUUGAGCAAACAGCAGUGGAAUUCUGCAGCUGUGGACCAAGACAUUGCUGUGUUCUUGUUUCUAGGAAUAUGAAGGGAGAAUGAAACAAAACUGCUCCGCUCAGGGAACUUGGAAAGGAAAUUGAAAAGGCAAGGCACAGGCUGGAAGAAAAUAUUUGAAAAAGAUUUAUGUGAACUUCUUUCUGGAUUAUACAAAAUAUUUUUAGAUAUUCUUACAACUCUAAAAUAAGAUAACUCCUUAAAAAUGUGAAUUCUACCAAAGGAGAGAUGAAGAUGACGA